rnacentral:rRNA from 1 species
CAGAGGGGGCAAGCGUUGCUCGGAAUCACUGGGCGUAAAGGGCGCGUAGGCGGGAUGGCAAGUCGGUCGUGAAAUCCUCGGGCUCAACUCGAGGGGGUCGGCCGAUACUGCCGUUCUUGAGGGAUGCAGAGGAGACUGGAAUUCCCGGUGUAGCGGUGAAAUGUGUAGAGAUCGGGAGGAACACCGGUGGCGAAGGCGGGUCUCUGGGCAUUCCCUGACGCUGAGGCGCGAAAGCGGUGGGGAGCAAACGGGAUUAGACUACCCCGGUAGUCCACGCGGUAAACGAUGACGACUAGGUGUGGGGGGGUUAAGUCCCUUCCGUGCCGCAGCUAACGCAUUAAGUCGUCCGCCUGGGGAGUACGGCCGCAAGGUUG